rnacentral:rRNA from 1 species
AGUGGCGGACGGGUGAGUAACGCGUGAGAAUCUGCCUUGGGGUCGGGGACAACCACUGGAAACGGUGGCUAAUACCGGAUAAGCCGAUUGGUGAAAGAUUUAUUGCCCGAAGAGGAGCUCGCGUCUGAUUAGCUAGUUGGUGAGGUAAGAGCUCACCAAGGCAGCGAUCAGUAGCUGGUCUGAGAGGACGAUCAGCCACACUGGGACUGAGACACGGCCCAGACUCCUACGGGAGGCAGCAGUGGGGAAUUUUCCGCAAUGGGCGAAAGCCUGACGGAGCAAGACCGCGUGAGGGAGGAAGGCUCUUGGGUUGUAAACCUCUUUUCUCAGGGAAGAAGCUCUGACGGUACCUGAGGAAUCAGCCUCGGCUAACUCCGUGCCAGCAGCCGCGGUAAUACGGAGGAGGCAAGCGUUAUCCGGAAUUAUUGGGCGUAAAGCGUCCGCAGGUGGCGAUUCAACUCUGCUGUCAAAGCACGGGGCUUAACUCCGUAAAGGCAGUGGAAACUGAAUAGCUAGAGUGCCGUAGGGGUAGAGGGAAUUCCCGGUGUAGCGGUGAAAUGCGUAGAGAUCGGGAAGAACAUCGGUGGCGAAAGCGCUCUACUGGACGGCAACUGACACUCAGGGACGAAAGCUAGGGGAGCGAAUGGGAUUAGAUACCCC